rnacentral:rRNA from 1 species
GCUCCUUUGACGUUAUUCGGAGAAAAGGGUGAGUAACACGUGGAUAACCUACCUAUAAGACUGGGAUAACUUCGGGAAACCGGAGCUAAUACCGGAUAACAUAUUGAACCGCAUGGUUCAAUAGUGAAAGGCGGCUUUGCUGUCACUUAUAGAUGGAUCCGCGCCGUAUUAGCUAGUUGGUAAGGUAACGGCUUACCAAGGCAACGAUACGUAGCCGACCUGAGAGGGUGAUCGGCCACACUGGAACUGAGACACGGUCCAGACUCCUACGGGAGGCAGCAGUAGGGAAUCUUCCGCAAUGGGCGAAAGCCUGACGGAGCAACGCCGCGUGAGUGAUGAAGGUCUUCGGAUCGUAAAACUCUGUUAUCAGGGA